ensembl:snRNA U1 U1 spliceosomal RNA
AUACUUACCUGGUAGGGAAGAUACCAUGAUCACGAAGGCGGUUUUCCCAGGGUGAGACUCAUAGACUGACUCUGGAUGUGCUGACCCCUGCGAUGUCCCCAAAGGUGGAAACCUUGACUGCAUAAGUGGUGGUAGUGGGGGACUGUGUUCAUGCUUUCCCCUG